AACGAACGCUGGCGGCGUGGAUAAGACAUGCAAGUCGAACGCUUAUUUCGGUGUAGCAAUACAAUCGGAGUAGGACGUGGCGCAAGGGUGCGUAACACGUGGGUAAUUUGCCGUAGAAGUCCGGGAUAACUUGCUGAAAGGCGAAGCUAAUACCGGAUGUGGAAAAUUGGAAGGCAUCUUUUGAUUUCUGAAGUUGGGGACCGCAAGGCCUGACGCUUUACGAUAAGCCCGCGGCCUANCAGCUAGUUGG
rnacentral:rRNA from 1 species